GAUGAACGCUGGCGGUGUGCCUAAUACAUGCAAGUCGAACGAGACCUUCGGGUCUAGUGGCGGACGGGUGAGUAACACGUUGGUACCUGCCCCUAAGUGGGGAAUAACUGCCCGAAAGGGUGGCUAAUACCGCAUAAUCCCGCAAGGGUAAAGUCGCAAGACGCUUAGGGAGGGGCCUGCGUCCCAUUAGCUAGUUGGUAGGGUAAAAGCCUACCAAGGCGACGAUGGGUAGCUGGAUCGAGAGGUUGACCAGCCACACUGGGACUGAGAUACGGCCCAGACUCCUACGGGAGGCAG
rnacentral:rRNA from 1 species